GACGAACGCUGGCGGCGUGCCUAAUACAUGCAAGUAGAACGCAGUUGCGAACGGGUGAGUAACGCGUAGGUAAUUGCCUCAGAGCGGGGGAUAACUAAUCGAAACGAUAGCUAAUACCGCAUACUGAGAGAUGGACCUGCGUUGUAUUUGCUAGUUGGUUGGGUAAAGGCCCACCAAGGCGACGAUACAUAGCCGACCUGAGAGGGUGGUCCGCCACACUUGGACUGGUGCACGGCCCCGACUCCUACGGGAAGCCGGAGUAGGGAAACUUCGGCAAAGGACGGAAGUCUGACCCAGCACCGCCGCGUUGGUGGAAGAAGUUUUCGGGUCGUAAAGCUCUGUUGUUAGAGGAGCGGUAACUACCCAGAAAGCGACGGCUAACUACGUGCCAGCCGCCGCGGUAAUUC
rnacentral:rRNA from 1 species